rnacentral:piRNA from 1 species
UGUGAUGGUCCCCCUCUCCUCUCUCGGC